GUGGAAUUCGCCCUUUUCCGGUUGAUCCCGCCGGAGGUCAUUGCUAUUGGAGUCCGAUUUAGCCAUGCUAGUUGUACGAGUUGAGACUCGUAGCAGAUAGCUCAGUAACACGUGGCCAAACUACCCUACAGAGCGUGAUAACCUCGGGAAACUGAGGCUAAUCGUGCAUACGGCUUUCAUGCUGGAACUGCAGAGAGCUUGAAACGUUCCGACGCUGUAGGAUGUGGCUGCGGCCGAUUAGGUAGACGGUGGGGUAACGGCCCACCGUGCCGAUAAUCGGUACGGGUUGUGAGAGCAAGAGCCCGGAGACGGUAUCUGAGACAAGAUACCGGGCCCUACGGGGCGCAGCAGGCGCGAAACCUUUACACUGCACGCCAGUGCGAUAAGGGGACUCCAAGUGCGAGGGCAUAUCGUCCUCGCUUUUCACUACCGUAAGGAGGUAGUAGAAUAAGGGCUGGGCAAGACCGGUGCCAGCCGCCGCGGUAAUACCGGCAGCCCGAGUGAUGACCGCUAUUAUUGGGCCUAAAGCGUCCGUAGCUGGCCGGGCAAGUCUAUCGGGAAAUCCACACGCCUAACGUGUGGGCGUCCGGUGGAAACUGCUCGGCUUGGGACCGGAAGACCUAGGGGGUACGUCUGGGGUAGGAGUGAAAUCCCGUAAUCCUGGACGGACCACCGGUGGCGAAAGCGCCCUAGGAAGACGGAUCCGACGGUGAGGGACGAAAGCUCGGGUCACGAACCGGAUUAGAUACCCGGGUAGUCCGAGCUGUAAACGAUGUCUGCUAGGUGUGUCACAGGCUACGAGCCUGUGAUGUGCCGUANGGAANCCGUGAAGCAAACCGCCUGGGAAGUACGUCCGCAAGGAUGAAACUUAAAGNAAUUGGCGGGGGAGCACUACAACCGGANGAGCCUGCNGUUUAAUUGGAUUCANCCCCGGNANGGCGAAUUCCACAGUG
rnacentral:rRNA from 1 species